AACACCCGAAGUCGGUGGGGUAACCUUUAUGGAGCCAGCCGCCGAAGGUGGGAUAGAUGAUUGGGGUGAAGUCGUAACAAGGUAGCCGUAUCGGAAGGUGCGGCUGGAUCACCUCCUUUCUAAGGA
rnacentral:rRNA from 1 species